AGUGAACGCUGGCGGUAGGCCUAACACAUGCAAGUCGAACGGCAGCACAGUAAGAGCUUGCUCUUACGGGUGGCGAGUGGCGGACGGGUGAGGAAUACAUCGGAAUCUACUUUUUCGUGGGGGAUAACGUAGGGAAACUUACGCUAAUACCGCAUACGACCUACGGGUGAAAGCAGGGGAUCUUCGGACCUUGCGCGAUUGAAUGAGCCGAUGUCGGAUUAGCUAGUUGGCGGGGUAAAGGCCCACCAAGGCGACGAUCCGUAGCUGGUCUGAGAGGAUGAUCAGCCACACUGGAACUGAGGCACGGUCCAGACUCCUACGGGAGGCAGCAGUGGGGAAUAUUGGACAAUGGGCGCAAGCCUGAUCCAGCUAUACCGCGUGGGUGAAGAAGGCCUUCGGGUUGUAAAGCCCUUUUGUUGGGAAAGAAAAGCAGCAGGUUAAUACCCCGCUGUUCUGACGGUACCCAAAGAAUAAGCACCGGCUAACUUCGUG
rnacentral:rRNA from 1 species